AGUGAACGCUGGCGGUAUGCCUAACACAUGCAAGUCGAACGGCAGCACAGUAAGAGCUUUCUCUUACUGUUGGCGACUGGCGGACGGGUGAGACAUACAUCGGAAUCUUCUUUUUCUUGGGUGAUUACGUAGGGCAACUUACGCUACUACCUCAUACUUCCUACGGCUUAAUUCAAGGGUUCUUCACACCUUUCCCGUUUCAUUUAGCUGAUUUCGGGCUGCAUUAGCUAGUUGGUAAGGUAACGGCAAACCAAGGCAACGAUGCAUAGCUGACCUGAGAGGAUGAUCAGCCACACUGGAACUGAGACACGGUCCAGACUCCUACGGGAGGCAGCAGUAGGGAAUAUUCGACAAUGGGCGCAAGCCUGAUGCAGCAAUACCGCGUGAGUGAAGAAGGUCUUCGGAUUGUAAAGCUCUGUUAUUAGGGAAGAAAAGAAGCAGGAGAAAAUCUGGACGUUCUGACGGUACCUAAAGAGAAAGCAACGGCUAACUACGUG
rnacentral:rRNA from 1 species